AAACAUGUCUUUUUGAAAAUAAUUUAAAGUCUAAUCUGCCCACUGAUNAAAUUAUUAAAGGGCUGCAGUAUUUUGACUGUACAAAGGUAGCAUAAUCAUUAGUCUCUUAAUUGGUGACUUGUAUGAAAGAUUGGAUGAAAUAUAUACUGUCUCUAUUUAAUUUAUAAAAUUUAAUUUUUUAGUAAAAAAGCUAAAAUAAAUUUAAAAGACGAGAAGACCCUAUAGAGUUUAAUAAUUUAUUUAAUUAUUAUUAAUAUAUAAAUUUUAAAAUUAAAAUUAAAUAAAUUAUUUUGUUGGGGUGAUAGAAAAAUUAAAUUAACUUUUUUUUUAUUUUAUACAUUAAUUUAUGAAUAAAUGAUCCAUUAAUAAUGAUUAAAAGAAAAAAUUACCUUAGGGAUAACAGCGUAAUUUUUUUUUUUAGUUCAAAUAGGAAAAAAAGUUUGCGACCUCGAUGUUGGAUUAAGAUAAAAUUUAAAUGCAAAAG
rnacentral:rRNA from 1 species